CAUCAUAAGGAGGACCCCCCUUUCGAGGUACAAAAAGAGUACGGUACAUAGGAGGUUGGUCUUUCUCAACGUGGUGUAUAGCACGAAAAACCUUUCGAUACAAGAUAGGGCCGUUCACAUGAAAGAAAAAAAUGAAUCCUUUCUUAUCUUCUUUCCCGAGAGGGAAAGAGAAAGAGGGUCUUAUGGAGGGAGGGGGGAGGGGAUACAAGAUAGGGUCGUUCGAAUUAAAGAAAAAAAUGAAUCCUUUCUUAUCUUCUUUCCCGAAAUGGAAAGAGAAAGAGGGUCUUAUGGGGGGAGGGGGGAGGGGAAAGGCUUGGGCCUACCUAUCCCGAUAGGACCCCAUAAAAGAACGGGAGCUGUUGAGAGGUUCCAUACUUCCGAGACAAAGGACAACACUUCUGUACGUGAUCGUAGUAUGUCAUGUCGUCUUGUCCCAACUUCAUCGAAGAGUACCUAUGCAUUAUGUUUCGGUUCAGUGAUAAGGAAGAUAGCAUUGGGGUGGGGGUCUACGAUAGAUUACUAAAGUAUGACCGGGGGAGAUACAUGCUAACUAUGGGUAGGAAGCAGGAACCAUUAUGUAAAAAAUUUCGGGGGGUUACAGAUCUCUUAUACUACCAUCGAUCAACAGAGCGGAACGACCAGAAAAAGAAGUUAAGUUAGAAAGCCGUAUGAUAGGUGGUAACUAUCUUGUACGGUUCGGGGGGUAAUCGGCGUACUCCGAUCAGUAGGGGGGGAAUCUUUGGCUCUAUCGAACAUACAUGGAAUUGGAG
rnacentral:lncRNA from 1 species